rnacentral:rRNA from 1 species
CCUACGGGCGGCAGCAGUGGGGAAUAUUGCACAAUGGGGGAAACCCUGAUGCAGCGACGCCGCGUGAGUGAAUAAGUAAUUCGUUAUGUAAAGCUCUAUCAGCAGGGAAGAAAAUGACGGUACCUGAGUCAGAAGCCCCGGCUAACUACGUGCCAGCAGCCGCGGUAAUACGGAGGGGGCAAGCGUUAUCCGGAUUUACUGGGUGUAAAGGGAGCGUAGACGGCAGUGCAAGUCUGGCGUGAAAGGCGGGGGCUCAACCCCCGGACUGCUCUGGAAACUGUACGGCUGGAGUGCAGGAGAGGUAAGUGGAAUUCCUAGUGUAGCGGUGAAAUGCGUAGAUAUUAGGAGGAACACCAGUGGCGAAGGCGGCUUACUGGACUGUAACUGACGUUGAGGCUCGAAAGCGUGGGGAGCAAACAGGAUUAGAUACCCGAGUAGUC